ensembl:lncRNA
UAUAGAAGUUAUGAGAAAUGUUACCUUACAUCCUUGCCAAUUCUAGACAGCAUCAAUGGUAUGGAAUAUCUGUUGACACAAUAGUAUACCGUUGAGCAUUGACAGUAGCUAAACUAACCACCCCUUUUCCUUCUAUCACUCUCUCAGGUGAAGGAGAUCUCACUGGAGGCCACAGGAGCUUUGUGAAGCCAGUGCGACACAAUCACUGUUAAUCACUGUUGUCAAGCUGGAGAGGUCAAGGACCCGACUCAGCAUCACAGAGCCUGUUAUGGUUUGUGACCCUGUGUUACCCAGCACAGUGAGGGGCAAGAAGCAGGAGUGGACUGGGUCAGGCAGGAGUGGUUCUGAGCCAGGAGGCUAGUUGGUCCUGGCAGCAAGAAAGAAAGAAGAACAUGAAGAUACAUCCAACGUACUGUAUGGUGCAGUGGGACAUACUUAAGAGGACUUCAGUUUGUGCUUAACAAUCCAAUCUAAUGUUAUUUUGUGCAUAUCCCCACAAUAUGUGAUAAGGUUUACAGAAAAAAAGUAUACUGUUUUUGUUUUAAAGUAAGGUGAUCUCUUUAUGUCAUAAUUACUUUAAGACUAACUAUCCUUG